AGUUUGAAUCCGGCUCAGAUUGAACGCUGGCGGCAGGCUUAACACAUGCAAGUCGAGCGGGGGAAGGUAGCUUGCUACCGGACCUAGCGGCGGACGGGUGAGUAAUGCUUAGGAAUCUGCCUAUUAGUGGGGGACAACAUCUCGAAAGGGAUGCUAAUACCGCAUACGUCCUACGGGAGAAAGCAGGGGAUCUUCGGACCUUGCGCUAAUAGAUGAGCCUAAGUCGGAUUAGCUAGUUGGUGGGGUAAAGGCCUACCAAGGCGACGAUCUGUAGCGGGUCUGAGAGGAUGAUCCGCCACACUGGGACUGAGACACGGCCCAGACUCCUACGGGAGGCAGCAGUGGGGAAUAUUGGACAAUGGGCGCAAGCCUGAUCCAGCCAUGCCGCGUGUGUGAAGAAGGCCUUAUGGUUGUAAAGCACUUUAAGCGAGGAGGAGGCUACUUUAGAUAAUACCUAGAGAUAGUGGACGUUACUCGCAGAAUAAGCACCGGCUAACUCUGUGCCAGCAGCCGCGGUAAUACAGAGGGUGCAAGCGUUAAUCGGAUUUACUGGGCGUAAAGCGCGCGUAGGCGGCUAAUUAAGUCAAAUGUGAAAUCCCCGAGCUUAACUUGGGAAUUGCAUUCGAUACUGGUUAGCUAGAGUGUGGGAGAGGAUGGUAGAAUUCCAGGUGUAGCGGUGAAAUGCGUAGAGAUCUGGAGGAAUACCGAUGGCGAAGGCAGCCAUCUGGCCUAACACUGACGCUGAGGUGCGAAAGCAUGGGGAGCAAACAGGAUUAGAUACCCUGGUAGUCCAUGCCGUAAACGAUGUCUACUAGCCGUUGGGGCCUUUGAGGCUUUAGUGGCGCAGCUAACGCGAUUU
rnacentral:rRNA from 1 species